GGUGUGGGGGUGGGGCUUGAUGAUGUCACAGCCCAGCCCCACCCCCCUGAAGUCUCCUGCAGCGUCUCCUCUCCGGGCUUCUCCUGGAGAGGAGACAUUAAAAGUUGGAUUAUCUCUUCAUGGGCACGCUACACCAGGAACAAGUGCACACUGGACACAAGACGGCUGUGUGACCUCUGGAUAAGGUGAUGAGAAAUCAAAGUUCCAGCAGUUCGCAAACUCCU